AAACUCCAAUGCUAGAUACUCCUUGAGACGCCUUAUUUCAUCCACACCAUCUCCUGUAAGAAUGAUAUCAUUGACAUAAACUAUAAUAAAUGUUAUUCUACCUCUUUGUGAGUGUUGGUAGAACAUUGUGUAAUCAGCUUGCCCUUGUGAGUAACCUUGUUUUUUAACAACCUAAGUGAAUCGUUCGAACCAAGCUCAAGAAGAUUGCUUUGGACCAUACAAAGAUUUCUUGAGUUUACAUACUUGAGUUUCAAAUUUUUCUUCAAAACUUAAAGGAGAAUCCAUGUAAACUUCUUCUUCAAGUUUUCCAUUUAAGAAAAUUUUAUUCACAUCUAGCUGCUAAAAAGACUAAUCAAGAUUAACAAUAAUGGAUAAAAGAACUCUAACAGAAUUUUAACUUGGCUACUAGAGCAAAUGUCUCAAGAUAGUCUAUUUUGUAUGUUUGAGUGUACCCUUUAGCCAUCAGUCAGGCUUUGUAUCUAUUUAAAUAUCCAUCCGAUUUGAAUUUGGUUGUAAACACCCAUUUACAGCUCAUUAUUUUUUUCAUACAGGUAAUUCCACUGUUUCCCAUAUACAUGUUUUUUCAAGAGCACGCAUCUCCUCUAAAACAACCUCCUUCCAUUUAGGAACCUGUAAAUCAUCUUUCAUAUUUUUGGGUUUUUCCACAAUAUCGAGACACAAAAUAAAGACUGAGAAUGUCAAAGACAAGACUUUAUAGGAUAGAAAGUCAUACAUGAGAUAUUUGACAACAUUUCUAACACAUUUUCUUUUAGCAAUUGGAAUAUCUAGAUCAGAAAAUUCAUUGGUUGGACUAUGAGUUUUACCUGAACUUUUGAUAAGAUCUUGCAGGUCGGAUUCUUGGUGGUGAAUCUGCUGGAUUCCACUUUCUUGAUUUCGAUUUAUUCUUGAGUAAACCAGCAACUCCUUUGUUUAUUUUUUGUUCUCAUGAUUAGACUUUACACCUUCAUACUCUUUUUUAUUAACAACAUUAGCAUCAUUCAAGUCCUUUUCAUUAACAACAUUAACAUCAUUAAUUUCUAUGUUAAUCAUAAAUUCGCCUUCCCCAUUAUUAGAAUCCUUAUGUUGUAUAUUCCUAGUUUUUUUUUAUUAUCAAUUAUUGAAUCUUACUUGCUAUAAUUCCCUCCUUGAAGAUUAGAAUCAAAGUAAGAUUGUGUUUCAACAAAUGUGACAUCUAUGGUAACAAUAAUCUUCCUACUAAUCGGAUUAUAACAUUUGUAACCCCUUUUUAUUAGAACACAUUUGUUUUUUUUUUUUUUUUGCUUUUGGAUCUAGUUUAGCUUGGUUGUAAAGAUGAACAAAAACACUACACCCAAAAACUCAGCAAGGUAAAUCUGUGAUCAAUUUAGAGUUAGGAAAACUAUUUUUAAAAAGACUAAAGGGAGUUCUACAGUUUAGAGUUUUACUAGGCAUUCUAUAAAUAAGAUAUGAGGUCGUUAAUAAGGCUUCUCCCCAAAGAUAACAUGGGACCUUGCUAGUGAACAUCAAGGCUCUAGUUACUUCCAAAAGAUGACGGUUUUUUCUUUCCGCAAUCCUAUUCUGUUGUAGUGUAUCUGUACAAUAGCUUUAGUGGAUUAUUCCAUGUUUGGUUAAGAAAACGCCUAAUUGGUCACUAAAAAAUUCCUCACCAUUGUCACUCCUAAAUACUUCUAUUUUCACACUAAAUUGUGUUUUCACCAUAGCAUAAAAAGAUUGAAACACAUUUUUAACUUCAGACUUAUCUUUUAAUAAAAAACCCAACAAUUGCGAGUAUGAUCAUUAAUAAAUAUGACAAACCAACAUUUUUUUGAAAAAUUUGAGACUCUUGAAGGUCUCUAAACAUCACUAUGAAUAAACGAAAAAUGUUUGGAAGCUUUAUAUUUUUGAGGUGAAAAGAAUGACUAAUGAUGUUUAGCCAAUUCAAAAAAUUCACAAUGAUAUGAAGAAGGACUUUAAUUUUUAAAUAGAUUAGGUAACAAAUGUCUUAAAUAGUAAAAAUUAGAGUGUCUAAGCCUAUAAUGCCAAAUCAUAACCUUAUCAAAACUAGAAACAGAGUUUAAAUAUAGAGUUGUUGUUGGUCAACUUAGAUGGUUGUCAUCUAGAAAGUAAAUUCCACCUGAUUUUUUAGCAUUGCCAAUCAUCCUCCCCGAGACCAUGUCUUGAAGUUUACAUAUAGAGAAGUCAAAUAUAACACGAUAAUUCGAGGAUUGAGAUAAUUUACUGACUGACAUGAGAUUACAAGCUAAAUUUGGCACAUUUAAAACAUCAUGUAAAACCAACGAAGGUGAAAUUUUAAUAGUGCCUUUCUCGGCUAUUGCCGAGAACAACCCAUCUGCUACUUUGUUCUUUUUGUUUCCUGCACAAUGUGUGUAAGUUGAGAAAAGAAAAUGACUACUAGUCAUGUGAUCACUAGCUUUAGAAUCAACGAUCUACGUUUUUGUUUUACAAGGCUUGACACUGAAAAAAAGGAAAAAUUAGUACCUGAUUGGGCAAAGGAGGAAGAAGGACUGCUGGAUAAGUUAGGAACAAAAGAAUUCAUCCGAAACUGUGGUGGUUGAAGAAGCUUGUGUAGAUGCUCUAAUUGUUCCUUAGUGAAUGGAGACCCUUCUAGAGAACUUUGCUGCUCAUGAUUUUCAUUAGUUAUUUAGAAAGCUCUGCUAUCCUCAAAUUGUGAACCAUGACCAUUGCCACUCUUUUUUCUCCCAUUCGUCGAUUUUUCAUGGAGUUUCCAACAUGUUUCUCAAGUGUGCCAAUAUUUUUUGUAGUGGUCGCACCAAGGUUUUUUCCUUUUUUCACUGUCAUCAUUAUUUUUAACCGUCACAAGAGUAGAUUAUUACUGUAAUGGCCUAAAUCCAAGGUUAUCGGAACAAUGGUUUCGUAACCAUAGAUCCGAUUUAAAGAGAAAUUUAUUUCAAUAUUUUUGCUUGAAAAUUGAUAUGAUAGGAAAAUCGUAUGAAAAUAUUGAUAGGAAAAUUUUAUCGAUUUAGUGAUUAGUUAGAAAAAGAAUUUAUUGAAGAAAUUGGGUAAAAUAAGAUAUCGGGACCUCUAUCUUAUAAAACCGAGUCAAAAAUAAUUUUAUAAAUAUUUAUGAAAUGUUAUUAAUGUGGUAUUAAAAUUUCGUUAGGAAAUUUUAAUGUUUGGGCAGUCAAUUAAAUGAAAAGGACUAAAUUGUAAUAGGUGUAAAAGUUGCUAGAGUGGUUAAAUAGCUUAAGAGUCUAAUGAGAAAGGAUUUAAAAGGAAAUUAUACCCAAAAGUUAUUUGGGCUGGACGGUAAGGGUAUGAAAUCAGCAGAAAAAUUGAUAAAUUAAGGGUAAAAUUAGAAUAUUGCAAAAUUAACUAAAUAAAACUAGGACUAAAUAGGAAAUAUCUAGAUUUCUCUUCAUUUCUCUUCAAUUCCAGCAGCUAAAAACGCCAUAGGAGGGUUCUAUAAGCUGGUAUUUCAUAAUUUUUGUACCAAGUGAGUUAAUCCUUGCCUUUUUCUUGUAAUUUUUGUGUUUCUAAGACUUUUACAACUAGGUCCUACUAUUAAAUUCAUUAGUUUUUUAUUUCAUGGAUGAAAUUGAAAGUCACCAUGGUUGAGUGCUGUAAGUUUAUGAUGAAAUAGAAUGAAAUUAAAGCUUUAAUUUGUUUAUGAGAUAAUUUUAUUAGGUAAUUUCAAUAGAAAUUGAUUUUUAGGACCUAAUUGUGAAAAUACUUGGAAUUAAAGUCUAUUCCUGAAAUUAUGAUUCCUAAAGGUUGUAAACUAGUUUAAGGUGAUAGAAUAAAAUGUUAAUUGAGAAAAAUCAGCUCAAUUGAGAGGCUAAUUGAGUAGGGACGAAAUUAUCAUUUAUUAAAAGCUUAGGGGAAAAAUGGUAAUAAACAGCUUGCACUAAAACAGUUUGGACAGCAGCAGUAGACUAACUUUGAAAAAUCACCAAAAAUUGUAGGAAUCGAAUUAGAAGAUGAAAAAAAUAUGGAAUUAAAUCUUAUUGAGUCUAGUUUCUCAUAGAAGAAAUAGUGUAAGAAAUAGAUUUGUAAAUUUUGAGAUAUAAUGAAUUUUGUGGGACAAGGUCAGAAUAAAUUCGGGUUCCCCUGUUCUGAAUUUGAAAAAUCAUAAAAAAUUGAAUAAAAACAAUUAGGGGCUUAAAUUAAUAUGUAUAGAAUCCUUAAUGAGUCUAUUUUUAAUAGAAACAAACGAUAACAUCAUUUGAAUUCUUUAUGAAGAGAUAAUUAAUUUUUAGUGAAGAAGGGUCAGAACUGUCGACAGCAGAACAGGGGUGACUUUAAAGAAUAAACUGUACUUAUUGCCUAAACAAAAAAUUCUGAAAAUUUUAUGAUAAAAAUAUAUAUGAGUCUAGCUUCAGGGAAAAUUAACGGAUCUUAAUUUGGAGUUCCGUAGCUCAAGUUAUAAAUAAUUUAGUGACUAUGACUCAAGUAGACAGCUUUGAAUGAACUAUAAAUAAUAGUUGAAUUAUAGAGAAUGUUGCAUAUGAACAUGAAAUGUAUUAAAUUGAUAAUUAAAUUUAUUUAUUUAGAUCCGGAAGAUUCAAAUACGAAGCUAGAUUGAGGAAAGGAAAAAGUUCGGAAUUAGUAGAUUUUUAUUGUUUACAAACAAGUAUGAAGGUAAGUUCGUGUAACUUGAAUUAUAUUCUUAAAUGCUUGAGAUUGUAUGUUAUUGAUGUGAAUAUGAUUUGAGUGUUCAUUGUAUGAAAAUUAAUGAAACAUUGAUAUAUUUGAUAAAAUGGGAAGAAAUCCUGGUUGAAUGAAAGGAAAAUUCGAUGGAUCUCUGAAAAGGAAUUGACGAUAAAAAGGAUCAAGCCCGGACGGGUGAUCCUAUCCUGAUAUAGCCCUCCCGAAGAAUAUGUGUAAAAUGGAUUUAGCCCGGACGGGUAAUCCAAAUUAGGGUCUGAAUUUAGCCUGGACUGGUAAUUCAGAUCCAAGCUCAUUAGAGUAAUUGUCGUUGCAGGGGAUUUAGCCUGGACUGGUAAUCCCGCUGUAAGGUUGAGGUUCGCGGGAGUGUGCUCUCUGAAAUGGAAAUGUGCGCACAUGAAUAUGAAUUGAUAGACUCAGAAUUGUACACUAAAAGUGUACCUCUGAAAAUCCAUCGAAAAUUCCAAGAAAUUCAACGGGAUAAAUAUGGAAAAAUAACAAGGAAAUAGAAAUCAUGGUAUUGACGAGCUCAUUAAUCAUAGUAUAUAUUAUUAGUACAUGGAAAUUAUUGUACUAACUUGAAUGUUGAGUUUGUGCAUAUUAGGGUAAUAAUGCAUUUAAUGGAUAUAUGGAUGUUUAUUGUAUUGUAUUGAAAAUAUUAGGUAAGUAUAAUUCUUGUUACAUGAGCUUACUAAGCACAAAGUGCUUACCCCGUUUCCUUUUUCCCUGUUUUGUAGUGUUAAGAGCUCGGAGGUCGGAUUUGGUCGGAGACACAUCACGCUGUCAACCUCAGGAUUUCGGUAUAUAAAGAAACUUUAUUUUGGAAAUCAAUGGCAUGUAUAAGCUAACAAAGUAAAUGUUAACGUGAAAUGAAUGUAAAGUUAGCCAUUAGUAUGGUUAACAAACCUGGUUUUAGAUAUGUGAUGAUGUUAUCUUAUAAAUAUGCAUGAAUUAAUCUUGAAAAUAUGUUGAAUUGAUUUGGUUGAUGUGGAUUGCUCUCGAUUUAAGAUUGCAGGGAAGGUUAGAUAUUUAUAAAGGGGCUAUAUUGAAUAUAAAAAAAAUUUAAUUCGUAAACUCCGAUAAUGCCUCGUACCCUAUUCCGGCAAUGAGUACGGGUAGGGGUAUUACAGUUACCUUCAAAUCUUGGCCUUAAUAUUACUUUUCUCUUUAUUUCCUCUCUUCCAACCUCAUAAAAAAAUCUUAUGGGGUGUUGAAAGCUGUUUUUUUCCUAAGAUCCGAGAUCUCACUUAAUUAAAUUCUUUAUUUAAACCAGCCAAAAAUAAAUAAGCUUGCUUAUUAUUUUCUUUUUUAAUAGCAUUUACACUAUCUCUAGGACACUCCCAUUCAUCAUUAUAACAUUGAUUCAAUUCUUGCCAAAUAGACAUCAUCUCGUUAUAAUAAAAAGUAACUUACUUGGCCUUCUAGAGUUUUAUUUUUAACUCAAAGAUCUAUGAAACAUUUUCUAAAUUUGAAUAAGUGUCUUUCAUAGCAUCCCAAACAUCUUUAACAAUCUGGAGAAAAAGAAAGGUUUACCAAUGGAUCCUUUCAUGGAAUUAAUAAGGCGCACAAUUAUCAUAGAAUUUUCUAACCUCCAUAUACUCAUCUUUGGAUUGCCCUCAUUUGGUUGCUUGACUUCUCCAGUUAAAUGACCUAGCUUGCCGCGCCCGUCAAUUGCUAAUACCUCUAUUUGGUUGCUGGAUCUUUUAUCUCCAAUGAAGGGUGUUUUAACCAUGAUGUUAUUGGAGAUUUAACCUAGCUCAGAUGCCAUGAAAGUUUUCAAGAGAGUAUACAAUAAAACUGUUCUAAAUUUUAUUAAGUAAAGUGUAACACCCCUAACCCGUAUCUGUCACCAGAAUAGGGUUACGAGGUAUUACCGAUCAAUUCACAAUGCAAGACAUAUAUUUAUCAACCGUAAAUCAUUCAUUCUUAUAAAUCAUCCAACACAAUCACAUUGUCCUUUAUAAGGGCCUACAAGGCCUUGUACAUGCUUUAGAAGUGGUUCGGGACUAAACCGAUAUCAUACGAGACUUUUAGAAACUUAGAAAAAAGUUUCAAACAUAUAGGGGUCACACGCCUGUGUGAACAGGCCGUGUGCCUCACACGGCUCCAGAGACACCCAUGUCUCAAGCCAUGUGAAAACAGGGCAUACAUACUGACUUGGGUCACAUGGCCAACCACACGCCCAUGUAUGUAGCCCGUGUGCCCUUCGAAGUGACCACACACAACUGUGUGCCAGAACGUGCCAAAACUGUAGGGUAUAUUAACUUAUGCAACACGGUCAAGUCACACGCCCGUGUGUAAUACUGUGUGGAGCAUACUGACUUUAUUUUAAUAACAACACCAGGGGACACACGCCCGUUUAACAUGACCGUGUGUCACACACGGUUGAGACACAUGCCUGUGUGGACAAAAAUAUGCCAUUUGCAAAGCCAAAUUGCCACCCUUAUUCAUACACACCCAAACAAUCAAAAUGGUACCAUUUCAUCACACAAUUAGGCAACCAAAACAUCAACCAAUUGCACAAUUCAUACCAUAUCCAAUUCAAUCAAAUUCAAUACUCAAUUCAAUACCAAUUACCUAUUCAAAUACUUAUUAACUCAACUUUCAAAAUCAUACUUUAUCAAAGCAUUUCUCAAGCAUUAUACACCAUCAAUCAAUUAACCAUUUGCAACUAUAAAACCAUAACCAUAUUCAUACCAAACAUGCCAAAACAAGCCAUCACUCAAGGCUAUAUAUAUACAAUCAAAACAUAUACAUUUACAAGCCAUUUUUAAUAGCUAAACACACAUCAACAUUAACAUCAUUUACAAGCCAACUCUCAUGGCUAUAAACACAACCAAUAUACCACAAGUAGCCUAUACAUGCCAUAUACCAUAUUUAUACAACUCAAAAGUAUCAAUUAGAUGUCCGAUAGUGCGAUGAUGUUCUCGAAGACUUCCGGAUCUGAGCUAGCCUUAAUUCAUUAUAAAACAUAAAAAAAAACACGAAGUAAGCUUCAUAGCUUAGUAAGUUCGUAUGUAAAUAACUUAAUUCAUCAAAUCAAUAUAAAUCAACCAAUUUCACAUUAACUACAAACCUUUCUCAUGUCUUAAACAUGAUUAAAUCAAGGUAAACGUGUAACGACCCGAACUUCAAGGUUAUAGGAAAAAUAUAUUUUCGGGUCUCUAUUUCUGAAAAAUGGAUUAGAAAAUAUUUAUGAAAAAUAAUUACGAAGUUAAUUGAGUAAUUAACUAGGAUUUAAUUAAGUGAAUUUAGCUUAAUUAAGAGUAAUUAGGAAAAAUGAUUAAAUUGAAUAAAGGAUGAAAGUUGAAUUGUAGAUUAAAAGAAAAUAAAAAGGACCAAAUAGGAAAUUAUACCUAAUGUAUGAAUUUAGGCGGCAAAAGACGGAAGAAUCUAGGAUUUUCUUAGAUUAAGUAAUUAAUUUAUUAUUAUAGUCAUUAUUAUUUAAUUGAUAUUAAAUUAUUAUAUUAUGAAAUAAAUAAAAGAAAGACAAGUGUAUAGUGAUAAUUUGAUACAAGUGUAUGGAAAAAAUAAUAAUAAUAAAAUAAAAAUAAAUACAUGUGUAAUAAUUAUUGUAAAUACAUUUGUAACACAUGUGUGUAUUUACUUAUUAUUUAAGUAAAUAUUAAUGUUAUUAUUAUUGAAUUGAUAUUAUAUUAUUAAAUAAAUUAAAUAAAGACAAAUGUGUGGAUAUGAUUUGAUACAAAUGUAUUAAUAAAAAUACAUACAUUUGUAAUACAUGUAUUUGAUAUUAAAUAGAUAUUUAUUAUUUAGUAAAAGAUAUUUAUUAAUUAAAUAAUUAUAUUAUAUGAUAUGAUUUUUAUGUGAUGAAUAAAUAAAAGUGUGACAAAUGUAAGGAUAUAAAUGGAUACAAAUGUUAAAUAAAUAUUAGUUAUUUAAUAGAUUUUUAUAAUGUUAUUAUAUAUAUAUAUAUAUAUAUAUAUAUAUAUAUAUAUAUAUAACAAAACUAAAAAUAAAAGAAAGAAAAGAAACAGAAUAGGCAAACGUGAAGCAGGGGAAGGAAAGGAAGAAAGAAACGAAAGAAAGAAAAGGAAAAAUUCAAGGUUUGAAGCUUUAAAGUUUAAUAGGUAAGUCAAUUUAGCCAUUUUUACUUAGUUUUGAUGUUUUAAAAGCUUUAGAACAAAGUUUUGAUGAAAUUAAGUUAAUAUUUUGAAAGUUAUUAGAUUUCUAAAUAUUGUUCAUGUUGAAUAAAAUGAUGAAUUAGGGGUUAAAUUGAUAGAAAUUCAAGUUAGAAAUGAAAUAAGGAUUGAAUUGUAAAGUAAUUCAUAAGUUUUAUGUUGUAGGGACUAAAUUGAUGAAAUUUCGAAAUUAGGAAAAUAUGCUGGAAAUUUUAUAGUUAAGUAUGAGUUUGGACAAAAUUUGAAUAGAAAUGAAGAAUGAAUUGAGAUAGAAAAAGUAAGUGAAUUUAGUUAAGAUUAAAUUAAAAUUAAAGGAGAAAUUGAAUAGAAAUUGUAUUAAUUAGAUAUAAAUUAGUAGUGAAUUAACGAAUAUGAAUUGUUUUAAUUCCCAUAGCUAACGUUGUCUCGGGAAAUUUCGGCUAAGCAAGGAAAAAUGGCAAAGACAACGAGAGUUAGCUCGAGAAAAUACGGUUUGUAUUUCUAUAAUACGAACCUAGUUAUUAAUUGUUAUAUUUUUUAUUCAAUGCAAUUAAUAAAUGUUGAAGUGAGAAUUAUUGUGUUUAUAAUGGAAAUGGAUUAAUUUGGUAUGUGAUGAAUUUAUAUUGAUUGAAUUAAAUUGAAUUAUAUAUUAUAAAUAUAUGUAUAUGUGUGAAUGAGAUAUUGUGUAAUUAUGAUAAUUGAAUUUUGGAUAAAUGUUAUGAUAAAUAGUUAAGAUGGGAAUUAUUUGUGCUGUGUCUUUAUAAUUGAAAUGAAUUGAUUUAGUGUGUGAUAAAUUUAUAUUGAAUUGAUAUAUGAAUGUUUGAAUUGAAAUGAAUAUUGAUGUGGAAAUUGAAUAAUAAAUAUUUGUUAUAUUGGAAAAUAUAUGUAGUUGGAAGUGUGAUGAAAUUGAUAGAAAAUUGUGAUUAUUGUGAAAUUGAAUAUUUAUUAGUGAAAAGUGAAUGGAAUUAUAUUGAAUUGAAAAUAUAUAGUUAAUUAAUUAAAAUAUGAACUAAUUGAAAACUGGAAAGUGAAUUAAAUAUCCUAUUAACUAGUCGGGCUAGUCGGAUAUAGUUGGCAUGCCAUAGGAUAUGGAAGAGUACGGGUUUUGCCGACUUACUGAUCAGGCACUUAUGUGCCGACUACUGUUAUUGUUACCGUUACUAUUACCGAUUCGGCACUUUGUGUGUCGGAUGUUGUUACUGUUACCGUUACCGUUACUGUUACUAUUUCGAAUUUGUUCUGAUGAGGUACUCCGUGUACCGUACUGUUAUUGUUACUGUUGCUGUUACUGUUCCGGCUUCGGCCGAUGAGGCACUAUGUGCCGUAUUGGUGUGUUGGUUGGAUCCGUGUAUCUAUCUAGGUCCAAGUCAUGUUAAUAGAGUUAAAUAAAGGAACUGGAAAGAUCGACUGUUACUGAAUAAUUUAAUUGUUACUGUAUAUCUGAUUUUUACUGAAUAAUUGACUGUUACUGGAUAACUGAUCAAUUGAUUGAUACUGAAUAACUGAUUAUUUUUGAAUAAUUUAUUGUUAUCGAAUAACUGUCUUUUACUGAAUAAAUAAUUGUUCUGAUUGACUGAUUGUUAAUGAAUAUUACUGAUUGAUUAAUUGCUAUUGAAAAAUAAUAAAUGAUUUUGAAUUUAAAGGAAAGCAAAACAUUGGUUGCAAAGUGAAUGUUUGAAUACUCAUUGAGUUUGAAAAGUUCAAUGUAUAUAUAUUAAUAUGUUUUAUAAUUGUUUAAAUGUUCGGAUUAUAGAAAUACCACUGAGUAUAUGCUCAGCGUACGGUUUGUUUUCGAGCGCAGGUUAAGGCUAGACCAUUGAAUCAGCAUCCCAGGUCGAUCCUGAAUUCAAUGAGGUAAAGUAUGUUGAGUAUUGGUAAUAGCAUGUACCUAGGAUGUCUUAUGAGAGUCAUUUAGGUUGUGAAAGUAUUGAUAAAACAAGUAAAUUAUGGUUGGCAAUGGUAUAUAAUAUGAAUUUGAAAUCUGAAAGAAAAAUUCGUAGUAAUUCUCAUUUAGUCCCGAAUUGAUUUUAUUGUUCAUAUUGGACCGCGAGGGCCCAUUAAAGGGACGUCAUUUUAAAAUUAUGAUGAGUCCGAACGUUUAUAUUUAAUUAAUGUCUAUAUUGUACUGUACUGAUUAGUAAUGUCUCAUAACCUUGUUCCAGCGAUAGUAUGGGGUUAGGGGUCGUUACAAAAUGAAUGAUGGCCCAUAGCCAAAUCAAAGGUAACUUAUUCAAAGAACAAUUAUCAUGGCUCGAAGCCAAAUCAUUCGAUAUGCAUGGCCCGAAGCCAAAUCGGUAUAACUUGAAAUACCCCUACCCGUAUUCAUUGCCGGAAUAGGGUACGAGGCAUUACCGGAGUUUACGAAUUAAUUUUUUUUAUAUUCAAUAUAGCCCCUUAAUAAAUAUCUAACCUUCCCUGCAAUAUUAAAUCGAGACCAAUUCACAUCAACCAAAUCAAUUCAACAUAUUUUCAAGAUAAAUUCAUGCAUAUUUAUAAGAUAACGUCAUCACAUAUCUAAAACCAGGUUUGUUAACCAUACUAAUGGCUAACUUUACAUUCAUUUCACGUUAACAUUUACUUUGUUAGCUUAUACAUGCCUUGGAUUUCCAAAAUAAAGUUUCUUUAUAUACCGAAAUCCUGAGGUUGACAGUGUGAUGUGUCUCCGACGAAAUCCGACUUCCAAGCUCUUAACACUACAAAACAGGGAAAAAGGAAACGAGGUAAGCACUUCGUGCUUAGUAAGCUCAUGUAACAAGAAUUAUACUUACCUAAUAUUUUCAAUACAAUACAAUAAACAUCCAUAUAUCCAUUCAAUGCAUUAUUACCCUAAUAUGCACAAACUCAACAUUCAAGUUAGUACAAUAAUUUCCAUGUACCAAUAAUAUAUACCUUGAUUGAUGUACUCAUCAAUACCAUGGUUUUCAUUCCCUUAUUAUUUUCCAUAUUUAUCCCGUUGAAUUUAUCGGAAUUUUGAUAGAUUUUCAGAGGUACACUUUUAGUGUACAAUUCCGGGUCCGUCAAUUCAUAUUCAUGUGUGCACAUUUCCAUUUCAGAGAGCACACUCCCGCGAACCUCAACCUUGUAGCAGGAUUACCAGUCCAGGCUAAAUCCCCUGCAAUAUAAACUCAUAGAGUAUUGUCGGGAUUACCAGUCCAGGCUAAAUCCCCUGCAACGACAAUUACUCUAAUGAGCUUGGAUCUGAAUUACCAGUCCAGGCUAAAUUCAGACCCUAAUUCGGAUUACCCGUCUGGGCUAAAUCCAUUUUACACAUAUUCUUCGGGAGGGCUAUAUCAGGAUAGGAUCACCCGUCCGGGCUAGAUCCUUUUUACCGUCAAUUCCUUUUCAGAGAUCCAUCGAAUUUUCCUUUCAUUCAACCGGGAUUUCUUCCCAUCUUAUCAAAUAUAUCAAUAUUUCAUUAAUUUUCAUACAAUGAACACUCAAAUCAUAUUCACAUCAAUAACAUACAAUCUCAAGCAUUUAAGAAUAUAAUUCAAGUUACACGAACUUACCUUCAUACUUGUUUGUAAACAAUAAAAAUCUACUAAUCCCGAACUUUUUCCUUUCCUCGAUCUAGCUUCGUAUUUGAAUCUUUCGGAUCUAAAUAAAUAAAUUUAAUUAUCAAUUUAAUACAUUUCAUGUGCAUAUGCAACAUUCUCUAUAAUUCAACUAUUAUUUAUAGUUCAUUCAAAGCGAGUCAUAGUCACUAAAUUAUUUAUAACUUUAGAUACGGAGCUCCAAAUUAAGAUCCGUUAAUUUUCCCUGAAACUAGACUCACAUAUCUUUUUACCAUAAAACUUUAAGAAUUUUUGGUUUAUCCAAUAAGUACAGUUUAUUCUUUAAAGUCACCCCUGUUCUGCUGUCGACAGUUCUGACCCUUCUUCACUAAAAAUUAAUUAUCUCUUCAUAAAGAAUUCAAAUAAUGUUCUUGUUUGUUUCUAUUAAAAAUAGACUCAUUAAGGAUUCUAUACAUAUAAAUUUAAGCCCAUAAUUGUUUUUAUUCAAUUUUUUAUGAUUUUUUAAAGUCAGAACAGGGGAACCCGAAUUCAUUCUGACCUUGUCUCACAAAAUUCAUUAUAUCUCAAAAUUUACAAAUCCAUUGCUUACACUAUUUCUUCUAUGAGAAACUAGACUCAAUAAGCUUUAAUUCCAUAUUUUUUUCAUCUUCUAAUUCGAUUUUUAAAAUUUAUGGUGAUUUUUCAAAAUUAGUCUACUGCUGCUGUCCAAACUGUUUUUGUACAAGCUAUUUAUUACCAUUUUUCCCCUAAGCUUUUAAUAAAUGAUAAUUUCGUCCCUACUCAAUUAGCCUCUCAAUUGAGCUGAUUUUUCUCAAUCAACAUUUUAUUCUAUCACCUUAAACUAGUUUACAACCUUUAGGAAUCAUAAUUUCAGCAAUAGACUUUAAUUCCAAGCAUUUUCACAAUUAGGUCCUAAAAAUCAAUUUCUAUUGAAAUUACCUAAUAAAAUCAUCUCAUAAACAAAUUAAAGCUUUAAUUUCAUUCUAUUUCAUCAUAAAAUUACAACACUCAACCAUGGUGACUUUCAAUUUCAUCCAUGAAAUCAAAAAAUAAUGAAUUUAAUAGUAGGACCUAGUUGUAAAAGUCUUAGAAACACAAAAUUACAAGAAAAAGGCAAGGAUUAACUCACUUGGUGCAAAAAUUAUGAAAUACCAGCUUAGAGAACCCUCCUAUGGCGUUUUUAGCUGCUGGAAUUGAAGAUAAAUGAAGAGAAAUCUAGAUAUUUCCUAUUUAGUCCUAGUUUUAUUUAGUUAAUUUUGCAAUAUUCCAAUUUUACCCUUAAUUUAUCAAUUUUUCUGCUGAUUUCAUACCCUUGCCGUCCAGCCUAAAUAAAUUUUGGGUCUAAUUGCCUUUUAAAUCCUUUCUCAUUAGACUUUUAAGCUAUUUAAUAAUUCUAGCAACUUUUACACCUAUUACAAUUUAGUCCUUUUCAUUUAAUUGACUAUCCAAACAUUAAAAUUUCCUAACGAAAUUUUAAUAUCACAUUAAUAACAUUUCAUAAAUAUUUAUAAAAUUAUUUUUGACUCGGUUUUACGAGAUAGAGGUCUCGAUACCUUAUUUUUACCCAAUUUCUUCAAUAAUUUCUUUUUCUAUCUAAUCACUAAAUCGGUAAAAUUUUUCUAUCAAUAUUUUCAUACGAUUUUCCUAUCAUAUCAAUUUUCAUGCAAAAAUAUUGAAAUAAAUUUCUCUUUAAAUCGAAUUUGUGGUUACGAAACCACUGUUCCAAUAAUUUUGAAUUUAGGUCAUUACAACUCUCCCCCCUUUAAGGAUUUUCGUCCUCGAAAAUCUUACCAGUAAAGAGAUUUGGGUAUUGUUUCCUCAUUGCCUCCUCCGGUUCCCAUGUCGCUUCCUCAAUCCCGUGCUUUUGCCACAAUACUUUCACCAAAUUUAUCUUUUUAUUUCUAAGCUCUUUUGUCUCUCGUGUCAAUAUCUUGACCGGUUCUUCACUGUAAGUCAUAUCCGGUUGAAUCACCACUUCUGUCGGAGAAAUAACAUGUGAAGGAUCUGAUCGAUAUCGUCGUAACAUAGAUACAUGAAAAACAUUAUGGAUUCUAUCAAGUUCUGAUGAUAAUGCCAAUCGAUAAGUGAUCGGUCCAAUUCUUUCUAUGAUUUCAUAUGGCCCGAUAAAUCUUGGACUCAGUUUACCCUUUCGACCAAAUCGGAGGACUUUCUUCCAAGGAGACACUUUCAGGAAUACCUUGUCACCGACUUGAAAUUCAAUCUCUUUUCGUUUAAGGUCGGCAUAUGAUUUUUGACGAUCGGAAGCUGCUUUUAGACUAUCUCGAAUAACCUUUACUUUUUCUUUUGUUUCCCGAAUCAAAUCAAUCCAUGUAUCUUCCUUUCACUAAGCUCUGUCCAAUAUAACGGUGUUCUACAUUUUCUACCAUACAAAGCUUCAUAAGGAGCCAUUUUAAUACUGGACUAAUAACUGUUAUUGUAAGCAAAUUCAAUCAAAGGUAGAUACCUCUCCCAAUUACCUUCAAACUCUAGUAUACAACAUCAGAGCAUAUCUUCCAAUACUUGAAUUACACGCUCAGAUUGACCAUCUGUCUGAAGAUGAAAUGCAGUGCUGAAAUACAACUGAGUACCCAAGGCUUCUUACAAUUUGUCCCAGAAACGAGACGUAAAUCGGGGAUCUCUAUCUGAUAUAAUGGAGACAGGCACUCCAUGUUGUAACACCCCUCGCUCGCAUCUGACGCCGGAACGGGGUUCGAGGUGCUACUUGACUUUUACUAACAUUCUAUACUCAACAGGGCCAUGAAAUCUCAAACAAUUAAAAACUUUUAUUUUCACAUACAAUCUGUCCCAUAUACGGGCUUACGAGACCCAAAACAUACAUCCGGAGUGGUUUGGGACCCAACCGAGAACUCAUAAAAAACUUAGAAAAUCUCUUACAUCAAGGCUUCAUACGCCCGUGUGGGUAUAGAGCACACGCCCGUAUGCUAGGGACACGCCCUUGUCCCAAACCCAUGUCCAAAAACCUGGACAAAUACAAGGCUAUUUUGCAAGCCAUUUUGUCACCCUCACAACACAUGCAUACAUACUUAUACAAUAGCAUACAACAUGGCAAAAUUAGGCACUUAAACAUUCCUAACAUGACAUGACCAUGGUAAUUUCACAUGCAAUAGAUAUCAUAGAUUUUUCUCACAUCUUUACCACAUUCAUGCUAUAAUCAUUAUAAACUCAUCACAUAAUACCAUAGCACAUGUAUGUAUAAUUAAAAUGAAUUUACAAUCCCAUAAUCAAAAUAAGCCAACACAUAUGGUCAAAGCCAUAUCACAUACUCUAAUAUUUAAACUCCUAUACAUGCCAUAGACUCAAAGUACUUGAAAUCACUACACCAAUAGCGUUAGCUUGACAGUGUGAUAAUAUCUCCGACGAACUCCAACCCGAGCUAACCUGGAAACUCUAGAAAACAUGGGAAAGAAGGGAGGGUAAGCUUUCGCUUAGUAAGUUCAUAUGAAAACAAUAAGCAACUCAUUAACUUGUUUUAUCAAUGUUUACAACAUAUUUUCAAGUUCACUACAAGCUGUCUUUCUGAGCAAUGGUCACUAAAUUAUUUAUAUCUGGAGCUACGAAACUCCGAAUUAAGUUCCAUUAAUUUUCUCUGAAACUAGACUUAUUUUCCUUUCUUCCAUAAAAUUUCCAGAAUUUUUGGUUAAGCCAAAUAGUACAAUUUAUUCCUCAAAGUUACCCCUGAUUCACUGUCUGACAGUUCCGACCCUUCUGUACUAAAGUUCAAUAAUCUCAUAGUACAAGACUCGAACAAUGUUCUCGUCUAUUUCUCUUGAAACUAGACUCAUAUGUCUACUUACUAAUUUUUUUCUAGAAUUUUUUUGGUUGGGCCAAUUAGUACAGUUUAUUAGUUAAAGUCUCCCCUAUUUCAGGGUAUGACCACUCUGACCCCUGUGCACUCCAAACCGAAUUUCUCCCUGUAAAAAAUUCCAACAACCAUGCCGUUUAUUUCCCCUAAAAAUAGACUCAAUAAGGAAUCCAUGCAUAUAAGGUAUGACUCUUAAAUUUUUUUUUACAAUUUUUGGUAAAUUUCUAAAGUCAGAAUAGGGGAUCUCGAAUUUAUUUAGACCCUGUUUCACAAGAAUUCAAAUAUCACACAAUAUGGAAUUCUUUUUCUUCCCCUGUUUCUUUCAUGUGAAAAUAGACUCAUUAAGCUUUAAUCCCAUAUUUUAUUCUGCCUCUAACUCAUUUUCCACUAUUUUUAUUGUAUUUUCAAAGUUACACUACUGCAGUAACUCAAAUCUGUCAAGGCUAAAUUACUCAUUCAUGAUCAUUGUUCACAAAAUUAAUACAACAUCGUUUGUAUAAUCAUCACCGAGACAUUCAUAUCACAUUUUCAUUUACCAUCUUACCAUGUUGUUGUUAUGUCGAGUUUUCAACCCGAGGGUUAAGUACAUACCUGUUCAAAGUAUCCAUUUCACAAGAUUUAUCAAUACGUCCCUUUCAUCUCGAGUAUUCCUCCAUUUGAGUAGAAUUUUACCCGUUGAACACACCGGAAUAUAAUUCGAAUACAUGGAAAGUUUGCACAUAAGUGCCACAUAUGUAGCCAAGCUACCAUGUAACCCGCCCAUAAGUGAACUCGGACUCAACUCAACGAGCUCGGGCGUUCACAUCCAUAAGUGAACUCGGACUCAACUCAACGAGCUCGGAUGCCUAGUUACAUCUCACGAACUCGGACUCAACUCAACGAGUUCGGAUGCUCAACCAUCCUAGUGACAUGUCACUUGUAUCCUAAUCUAUUCCUAAGGUUCAAACGAGAUUUUCCUCGAACACAUAUCCUUGCCAUCUUCCGUAAAAUACCGAAACCAAUACUCGGUAGCACUUUAUAUUUAAUAUAUAAUACACAUAACUUGCAUUUUAUUCGAAAAUAACCACAAAGCAUAUAUUUCAUGAUAAAAAUCAGCAUAUCAUAUAUUUAACAUCAAUAACUUAAAAAUAACAAUUAUGCUACAUUAUUUACACAUGAACUUACCUCGAUACCACAAAGGUGAAAAAAAAGACGUAAUUAUCUCUUAAUCGAUUUCUUUCCGUUCUAGGUCCAAAUCUCGAUUUUCAUCAUCUAAAAUAUCACAUUCAACUUAUUAAAACAAUGUACUGAUAAAUUAGUCCAUUGACACACUUGGGCAAUUUUUACAAUUUUGCCCCUAUAUUUUGCCAAAAUUACCAAAUUGCCCCUAGGCUCGUAAAAUAAAUUUUAUCACAUUUCUUUACUCCUUGAGUCUAGAUGAACCAUUUUCAUAACUAUAGCAACUCAUAAUUUCAACUAUUUCACACAUUUACAACUCAUUUUACAACUUAGCAAUCUAGCCCUUUUUAAGGUGUUUUCAUGCAAUUUCUUUCACAAAAGUUGUUUAUUAGACAACUAGGACUUAUAAUCUUCCAUAAAAACACAGAAAAAAACACAUUUACUCUCAUGGCAAAACCCUAGACUCUUCAUAAUUUUGCAAAAUAGUCCCCUCUUAUGAAAGCUCAUGCUUUAGGGGUUCCAAAAAUGUAAAAAUCAUCAAGCAAACACAUUAAAAUCACUUACAAGCAAGGGAAAUAUGUUGCUGAAAUUUUCCAGCUUCAAAACCCUUUCUUUGCUGCAUAUUUCGGUGAAGGAGAAGAGAAAAAUGAUAGCUUUUUUCUUUUUGAUUUGUUAAUAAUAAAACUAGUCAAAAUUGGUGACCAAAUUUCACCUAAUUUUGACUUUUCAACAAUUUUGUCUCCCAUGACCGGCCAUCACACUUUCAAUGGCCUAAUUUCACUUUAAAUACCCCCAAUUUAAUAUACAAGGCAAUUUAAAACCUUUAGGUAUUAAAACACAACUUUUACCUUUUACGCGAUUUAGUCCUUUUUCGAAAUUGGACUAGAAAUUGCUAAAAUUAACUUACCAAAGUUUACAUGCACUUAUAAAAUUAUAUUAUAACACAUAAAAUAAUACUAAAAUAAUUUUCUCUGGCCUCGAAAUAGUGGUCCCGAAACCACUAUUCCGACUAGGCCCAAAAUCGGGCUGUUACACAAUGUAGCCUGACAAUCUCAGAUAUGUACAGUUCAGCUAGUUUAUCUAAAGAAUAAUCCAUACGUACCGGAAUAAAGUGAGCUGACUUUGUCAAUCGGCCUACAAUCACCCAAAUAGCAUCUUUUUUCCUCGGAGACAAAGGUAAACCCGAUACAAAAUUCAUAGUGAUUCUUUCCCAUUUCCAUUCCGGUAUAAUAAUUGGCUGAAGUAACCCCGAAGGUACCUGAUGUUCAGCUUUAACUUGCUGACAUAUUAAACACCUUGAUACAAACUCAGAGAUAUCACGUUUUAUUCCCGACCACCAGUACAUCUUUUUCAGAUCAUUAUACAUUUUAUUACUCCCCGGAUGUACAGACAUAGUACUGCUGUGAGCCUCGCGUAGAAUUUUCUGUAUGAGCUCUGAAUUCUGAGGUACACAUACCCUACCUCUGAAUAAUAAACAACCAUCAGAACCAAUCUGAAAUUCAGAAUCAUUACCUGACUCACAUUGUGCCCGUUUAACUUGUAACUUCUCAUCAUUCUUCUGAGCUUCACAUAUUUGCUAUAAAAAUAUCGGUUUAGCUCUUAAUUCUGCUAGAAUUGAACCAUCAUCAGUCAAUGAUAACCGGGUAUUCAUAGCUCGUAAAGCAAACAGAGAUUUCCGGCUCAAAGCAUCAGCUACAACAUUAGCCUUACCUAGAUGGUAAUCAAUAAUCAAAUCAUAGUCCUUUAUCAAUUCAAGCCACCUGUGCUGUCUCAAAUUCAAAUUUUUCCGUGUCAUCAAAUAUUUCAAGCUUUUAUGAUCAGUAUAAAUAUGACAUUUCUCACCGUACAAGUAAUGCCGCCAUAUCUUCAGCGCAAAUACAAUAGCAGCUAAUUCAAGAUCAUGUACUGGGUAAUUUCUUUCAUGUGGUUUAAGUUGUCUUGAAGCAUAGGCUAUUACUUUACCUUCUUGCAUCAAAACACAACCUAAACCAUUUAAUGAGGCAUCACUGUAAAUAACAAAUUCCUUACCCGGUUCAGGCUGCACUAAUACAGGUGCUUUUGUUAAUAGGUCUUUCAAUCGGUUGAAACUUUGUUGACAUUCAUCAGUCCAAACUUUGUUGACAUUCAUCAGUCCACUCGAACUUUACAUCUUUCUGCAAUAAUCUAGUCAUUGGAGAAGCUAUCAUAGAGAAUCCCUGUACAAAUCUCCGAUAAUAACCAGCUAAACCCAAGAAACUUCUAACUUCAGAUACAUUCUUCGGUGGACUCCAAUUGACAAUAGCUGAGAUUUUACUUGGAUCUACCCUGAUGCCUUUGGCAGAUACAAUAUUUCCUAGAAAACCCACUUCUCGAAGCCAAAAUUCACAUUUACUGAAUUUAGCAUAUAACUGCUUCUCUCGCAGAAUUUGCAACACAAUUCUCAAAUAUUCUGCAUGUUCUUCUUCAUCCCGAGAAUAAACCAAAACAUCAUCAAUGAAUACUACUACAAAUCUGUCUAAGUACGGUCUGAAUAUCCGGUUCAUCAAAUCUAUGAAUACUGCAGGUGCAUUAGUUAGCCCUAACGGCAUAACUAGAAACUCAUAAUGCCCGUACCUAGUUCUAAAGGCUGUUUUUGGCACAUCUGACUCCUUUACCCGUAACUGAUAAUAACCCGAUCGAAGAUCAAUAUUUGAAAACACAGUAGCACCUUUCAGCUGAUCAAAUAAAUCAUCAAUUCAGGGUAACGGGUACUUAUUCUUUAUGGUUACUUUAUUAAGCUGCCGGUAGUCGAUAAACAAUCUCAAAGACCCAUCUUUCUUUUUCACAAACAGAACCGGAGUACCCCUGGGUGAAUGACUCGGUCGGACAAAACCCCUGUCAACAAGUUCUUGCAACUGUGUCUUUAACUCCUUUAUUCUGUAGGAGCCAUACAAUAUGGAGCUAUGGAGAUCGGAGUAGUUCUCGGAAUCAAAUCUAUAGAAAAUUCCACUUCUCUUUCUGGUGGCAAUCCUGGUAAUUCCUCUGGAAACACAUCGAAAAAUUCACAUACCACUAGAACUGCCUGUAUCUUUGACUCAGAUACCUUGGUGUCGAGUACAUAAGCCAAGUAAGCAUCAUACCUUUUUUUGACAUACCUUUGUGCUGCCAUUACUGAAAUCACAUCAGAUAACCCCUCUGUCUGAUCAGAUUUAACCCGGAGUAACUCACCAUUCUGACAUUUUAGCACAAUAUAUUUUUGUCUACAAUUUACUACCGCAUCAUGCUGGGUUAACCAAUCCAUGCCCAAUAUCACGUCAAAUUCAUCAAAUGACAGUAACAUCAAAUCAGCCGGGAAACAAUAACCUCUUACCAUCAGUGGACAAUUUUUACAAAUUUUAUCCACCAACACAGACUGGCCUAGGGGGUUUGAGACUUUAACCACAAAUUCAGUAGGUUCAACAGGUAAAUUUUUAACAAUUGCAAGUUUAACACAUAUAUAUGAAUGCGUAGAACCAGGAUCAAUUAAUGCAGUAAUAUCAGUAUCAAGUAAAAAAAAUGUACCAGUAAUAAUAUCAGGUGCUGAGGCAUCUUCUCUGGCACGAAUGGCAUAUGUCCUAGCAGGUGCUCGUGCUUCAGACCUGCCUGCAAUAUCUUUCGUAGCUCCUCGGCUACCACUGACAUUACCAGAUGGUCGAGGUGGUCUACCUCUCGAAACUGGAUUACUCAGCUUUGAUAUCUGUUCAGCUUCUUUUUCACCUCUUUCUGGACAAUCUUUGAGGAAAUGGUCAAAAGAACCACAUUGGUAACAAGCCCCGCUCUUUAAUCGACAUUCACCAAAAUGAGCUUUAUUACAGUACUGGCAUCUUGGCUUAGGAGUGCCAACACUACCAACACUGGUCACUGAUGGAGUAGAAGGUCUUGGAUUAGUGCGUUGAGAACCUCGCUCUCUGCCCGAAUACCCAAUGGCUGAAGUAGAACGAUCCAGAUACUUCUUCAAUUUCUUUGAAGCAGAAAACUGGGAUUUUCCCAUCGGUCUUUUACUAAAAAUUCGAGCUUCCCUUUCAGCGUGUUUCUUUUCUUUGCUCAAUUCUUCUGCUUUAUAAGCUUUCUCUGCCAAUGUAGCAAACUCUCAAAUUUCAAGAAUUCCGAUCAGUAGUUUAAUGUCUUCAUUUAACCCUUCUUCGAAUCGUUUGCACAUUUCAGCUUCUGACUGUACCCAUUCUCGAGCAUAUUUACUCAAUCGAACAAAUUCUCUUUCAUAUUCAGAUACUGAUCUGUUACCCUAUUUCAACUCAAGAAAUUCUUUUCUUUUCUGAUCGAGAAACCUCUGGCUGAUAUAUUUUUUUCUAAACUCGGUCUGAAAGAAUUCCCAUGUAAUUUCUUCUUUCGGAACAACUGAAGCUUUAGUAUUCCACCAAUGGUAAGCUGUGUCUUUUAGCAGUGAGACGACACAUUUCAGACAUUCUUCUGGUGUACAAGAUAAUUCUUCCAGAACCCGAGUAGUGUUUUCUAACCAGAAUUCAGCCCGUUCAGAAUCAUCAUCAACUGCUGAUUGAAAUUCUUCGGCCCCAUAUUUUCAAAUUUUAUCUACUGGAGCUUUUCCUUUUUUGACAGAUUCAGUACCUGCACCUUGUGGGAUCUCGGGAACUGGUGAAGGAGCAGGAGGGGGAGCUUGAACUUGCUGCACUACAGGGUUAGUUCUUAAAUAUUGAUUAAACCAUUCAUUCAUCAUUUGAAAGAAGGCUGUUUUUUCCUCCUCCCCUCGACCCUCUGUCUCGGGCCUUCUACUGCUAGUUUCUUCUCUUUGUACUGAAGCCGGAGCAUGACUCCCAGCUUCCUCAGAUUGAGCUCGGUCGGAUGACAUUACUAUAAGAAAAACACAUUUUAAAUGGUCAGGAGAUAUCACACUAUCAAUAAUAAUUGAAAUGGCAUGUAUAACUAAUCUCGUAUUUGUUACAUCGGUCCUAGAACUGGCUAAACCGUAGCUCUGAUACCAAUAAAUGUAAUACCUCUACCCGUAUUCAUUGCCGGAAUAGGGUAUGAGGCAUUACCGGAGUUUACGAAUUAAUUUUUUUUUAUAUUCAAUAUAGCCCCUUUAUAAAUAUCUAACCUUCCCUGCAAUAUUAAAUCGAGACCAAUCCACAUCAACCAAAUCAAUUCAACAUAUUUUCAAGAUAAAUUCAUGCAUAUUUAUAAGAUAACGUCAUCACAUAUCUAAAACCAGGUUUGUUAACCAUACUAAUGGCUAACUUUACAUUCAUUUCACGUUAACAUUUACUUUGUUAGCUUAUACAUGCCAUUGAUUUCCAAAAUAAAGUUUCUUUAUAUACCGAAAUCCUGAGGUUGACAGUGUGAUGUGUCUCUGACCAAAUCCGACCUCCAAGCUCUUAACACUACAAAACAGGGAAAAAGGAAACGGGGUAAGCACUUCGUGCUUAGUAAGCUCAUGUAACAAGAAUUAUACUUACCUAAUAUUUUCAAUACAAUACAAUAAACAUCCAUAUAUCCAUUAAAUGCAUUAUUACCCUAAUAUGCACAAACUCAACAUUCAAGUUAGUACAAUAAUUUCCAUGUACCAAUAAUAUAUACCUUGAUUGAUGUACUCAUCAAUACCAUGAUUUUCAUUCCCUUAUUAUUUUCCAUAUUUAUCCCGUUGAAUUUAUCGGAAUUUCGAUGGAUUUUCAGAGGUACACUUUUAGUGUACAAUUCCAGGUCCGUCAAUUCAUAUUCAUGUGCACACAUUUCCAUUUCAGAGAGCACACUCUCGCAAACCUCAACCUUGCAGCGGGAUUACCAGUCCAGGCUAAAUCCCCUGCAAUAUAAACUCAUAGAGUAUUGUCGGGAUUACCAGUCCAGGCUAAGUCCCCUGCAACGAUAAUUACUCUAAUGAGCUUGGAUCUGAAUUACCAGUCCAGGCUAAAUUCAGACCCUAAUUCGGAUUACCCGUCCGGGCUAAAUUCAUUUUACACAUAUUCUUCGGGAGGGCUAUAUCAAGAUAGGAUCACCCGUCCGGGCUAGAUCCUUUUUACCGUCAAUUCCUUUUCAGAGAUCUAUCGAAUUUUCCUUUCAUUCAACCGGAAUUUCUUCCCAUUUUAUCAAAUAUAUCAAUGUUUCAUUAAUUUUCAUACAAUGAACACUCAAAUCAUAUUCACAUCAAUAACAUACAAUCUCAAGCAUUUAAGAAUAUAAUUCAAGUUACACGAACUUACCUUGAUACUUGUUUGUAAACAAUAAAAAUCUACUAAUCCCGAACUUUUUCCUUUCCUCGAUCUAGCUUUGUAUUUGAAUCUUCCGGAUCUAAAUAAAUAAAUUUAAUUAUCAAUUUAAUACAUUUCAUAUUCAUAUGCAACAUUCUCUAUAAUUCAACUAUUAUUUAUAGUUCAUUCAAAGCUGUCUACUUGAGUUAUAGUCACUAAAUUAUUUAUAACUUGAGCUAAAGAACUCCAAAUUAAGAUCCGUUAAUUUUCCCUGAAACUAGACUGAUAUAUAUUUUUACCAUAAAAUUUUUAGAAUUUUUGGUUUAUCCAAUAAGUACAGUUUAUUCUUUAAAGUCACCCCUAUUCUGCUGUCGACAGUUCUGACCCUUCUUCACGAAAAAUUAAUUAUCUCUUCAUAAAGAAUUCAAAUAAUGUUCUCGUUUAUUUCUCUUAAAAAUAGACUCAUUAAAGAUUCUAGACAUAUAAAUUUAAGCCCAUAAUUGUUUUUAUUCAAUUUUUUAUGAUUUUUCAAAAUCAGAACAGGGGAACCCGAAUUCAUUCUGACCUUGUCUCACAAAAUUCAUUAUAUCUCAAAAUUUACAAAUCCAUUGCUUACACUAUUUCUUCUAUGAGAAACUAGACUCAAUAGUCUUUAAUUCAAUAUUUUUUUCAUCUUCUAAUUCGAUUUCUACAAUUUAUGGUGAUUUUUCAAAGUUAGUCUACUACUGCUGUCUAAACUGUUUUUGUGGAAGCUAUUUAUUACCAUUUUUCCCCUAAGCUUUUAAUAAAUGAUAAUUUCGUCCCUACUCAAUUAGCCUCUCAAUUGAGCUGAUUUUUCUCAAUCAACAUUUUAUUCUAUCACCUUAAACUAGUUUAAAACCUUUAGGAAUCAGAAUUUCAGCAAUAGACUUUAAUUCCAAGCAUUUUCACAAUUAGGUCCUAAAAAUCAAUUUCUAUUGAAAUUACCUAAUAAAAUCAUCUCAUAAACAAAUUAAAGCUUUAAUUUCAUUCUAUUUCAUAAUAAACUUACAGCACUCAACCAUGGUGACUUUCAAUUUCAUCCAUGAAAUCAAAAACUAAUGAAUUUAAUAGUAGGACCUAGUUGUAAAAGUCUUAGAAACACAAAAAUUACAAGAAAAAGGAAAGGAUUAACUCACUUGGUGCAAAAAUUAUGAAAUACCAGCUUAUAGAACCCUCCUAUGGCGUUUUUAGCUGCUGGAAUUGAAGAGAAAUGAAGAGAAAUCUAGAUAUUUCCUAUUUAGUCCUAGUUUUAUUUAGUUAAUUUUGCAAUAUUCCAAUUUUACCCUUAAUUUAUCAAUUUUUCUGCUGAUUUCAUACUCUUGCCGUCCAGCCCAAAUAAAUUUUGGGUCUAAUUGCCUUUUAAAUCCUUUCUCAUUAGACUUUUAAGCUAUUUAAUCAUUCUAGUAACUUUUACACCUAUUACAAUUUAGUCCUUUUCAUUUAAUUGACUACCCAAACAUUAAAAUUUCCUAACGAAAUUUUAAUACCACAUUAAUAACAUUUCAUAAAUAUUUAUAAAAUUAUUUUUGACUCGGUUUUACGAGAUAGAGGUCUCGAUACCUUGUUUUUACCCAAUUUCUUCAAUAAUUUCUUUUUUUAUCUAAUCACUAAAUCGGUAAAACUUUUCUAUCAAUAUUUUCAUACGAUUUUCCUAUCAUAUCAAUUUUCAUGCAAAAAUAUUGAAAUAAAUUUCUCUUUAAAUCGGAUUUGUGGUUACGAAACCACUGUUCCGAUAAUUUUGAAUUUAGGCCAUUAUAUAACUCGCACCCGAAGUGCUAAUAUCAUGGCUCAAAGCCAACUCAACUUAUCAUCUAAUAGCAAGGCACUAGUAUCCAAAUCUAUUCCUAAAGUUCAACCGAGAUUUCACACCUUCCGUUUCUAUCAUCGAAUGCAUUCGUAGAGUCGUUUCCACAAUUCGAACAUUAUCCAUAAUCUCAUAAUCACAUUUUAUGCAAUACCAAAGCGUUUAACAUGCUUUUAUAAUGAAAUUACUGCAUAUGAACUUACUUCGAGUAUGAAAACGGUGAAAUAAGUCAAUUACUCGAUAAUCUGGCCUUUCCCUCAAUUUAAUUCCGGAUUACUCUUUUCUUGAUCUAAAUGCAAGAAUUCUUCCUAGCCGAAUGAAGAACCCUAGUUCCUCUUGUUCUUCUUUUAAUUUCGGUUCAACAAGAUGAUAAUGAAUGAAAUUUGUGUUUUAUUUUACUUAUUUUAACAUUAUUUACAAAUUACCAUAAUUAACCUUAAAAAUAUUCCAUAAUUACACCAAAUGCCAUGCCACUAUCAUCCACUAUCAUACUAAUGGUCAAUUUACCACUUAAAGACCUUAAAUUUAAGGUUCUAUAGCUAUUAAAUACCUUUAGCUAAUAGAACAAAACUUUUACAUUUUAUGCGAUCUAGUCCUUUUUCUCAAAUUGAGCAAUUAAACGAUAAAAUUAGCUUACGAAAUUUUCACACAUACAAGCUAUUAUCUGUAAUCACUAAAAAUAAUAUUAAAAAAAAUUUCGACAUCGGAUUUGUGGUUCCGAAACUAUUGUUCCGGUUUAGCUAAAACCGGACUGUUACAUAAAGAACUGAAUUUAAAUAGAAAAAUAGCCAUAACCUAAUUGGGAAAUAAUUCCCUUAUUAUAGUAAACUCCUAAAAAAUAAAAUAAAAUGUUCCUAAAAAAUCUCAAUUCAUUAUUUUAAGAUUUAUCUACUUAAAUAAUUUAAAAACUAAAUUCAACAUGUACGACAUGUGUAAGCUCAAUUGUUUAUAGUUUCUUUUUUCUUUAAUUUCCAUAUUUGAAUAUUUGGAAGGUUGUUAAAGAACCGUAUUUUUAUACCAUAUUUGAAUAUAUGUCGAUAUCGAAACAUGAAUACUUCUAGAAAAAUAAAAGAAAAUUUAAUAUAAUUUUUUCUAAUAUAAUAGAAAAAAUGUGGCAUAAAAAAAAAAAAAAAAGAAGUUAAACAAGAAGGUGAUAAGUAGAUGCAGGGUUGCUUGGAGGGUUGAAAGACAUGGGCGAAAUGGGAUUGGUAGGGUUAAAAGAUGUAGAAUUCUGUGUUGUGGGGGCAUUGAGGAAACUAGCGAAACGAGAAACAAAUGGAUCAGUAAAGGAUGAAACAAUAGGAAGCGAUUAUGAACUUUUUUUUUGCAGGUUUUGAUAAUAACCAAAAGAUGGUCGAAGUCCAAGGAUAAGAAGAAUAAUAACUCAGAGAAGAAGCCUAUAAGGUGUCCAUUGAUGAGGAUGUUAACACUGCAAAGGUGAAUAAGCUGAGCAACUUCUCAUGACAUUUUCUGUUUGGCAGAAGGCAAACUUUUGCAUCCAUGGUAAGAAAAUAUAAAGGGAGAAUAUCAGAAGUUACGUUAUUUUGAUUCUUUAAUUUUUUCGAAGUAUUAAUGUUUGACAUAUUUAGAUAUGAGUAUGAUUAUAUGAAGAUAUAAUCCUCUAAAUUUAUGAAAAAUCUUAGGAAAGAAAAAAACCCUCUGUAAGAUACCCAUAUUGGAUACUCACUUGGAGUCUGAAUUUGGGUAAGGUAGGAUAUGUUCGGACUUAGGUGUGGUUUCCGAUUAUGGGUACGUUCAAUUUCAUCUAAGUUAUCUUAUGAAUUUGAAAGGCAUUUGGAGAUUCAUAUCAAUAUACUCAUGUGUCAAAUGCGGAUAUUCAAGUAAAACAAAAAAGAAAAUGUUUUCCACAUCAGUAGGCAAGCGCAUACGCUGUUGACUAGAACCAUGGAAACACAUUACGUUAUUUUAAGAAUGUAGGUAGAAAUACUAUUCCUUUUAACCUAAUGAACAAAAACAAUUAAAUAACAAAAUAUAAUAUAUUCUUACGUUUUGCUAAGCUUAUCUUGAGACUUUAACCAUAUUAAUAAAACAAGAAUAUAAUUUAAAGUUGCUUUUUCAAGGAAAAGUGUGAUGGGGUAGGUGUAAUUCACUGAUUAAUGAGUUAUCAGUGAAGCCGCCACUUUACAUGUUCUUAUAUGUUAUCUUUUUUAUUUUUGUCUUCUUGUUUGUUGUUGGAAUAUCCAAAGGUAUCCCCAACAACUAUUGAUUUGUUCUUUGAUUCUUUUACAUUCUUCGGUGUUUUCUAUUUCCAUUUUCUCAUUACAUGUUUGAUUGAUUCUUCUGUUUCCACAGCUUGGGGGAACAAGUAUUUCUUGCCUAUUCCUCUGUUAUCUGAGCGGGUUUAUGCCCUUUAUAAACAGUUCAGAAGCUUGCGUUUUGCAAUAAGAAAACCUUGUUUUCCUUUGUUAAAUUGCGGAAAUUUUGAGAAUCCUCCAUGGAAGACAAAUAUGCAAUCAAGAAAGAUGUUACUGAAGUAAUGUUUUUUUUCUCAAUCAUUUAAGUGUUGUUGAUAUUGCCAUUAGUCUUCUGCAACUUGUUUUAAUCUCAUCGUGGCUUAUGCAGUUAAUAGGUAACACGCCUAUGGUAUAUCUGAACAAUAUCGUCGAUGGUUGCGGAGCUCGAAUUGCUGCCAAGCUUGAGCUGAUGGAACCUUGCUCCAGUGUUAAAGACAGGCAUAAACUUCAUAAUUUACAUUUGAUUUUUACAUUCUUCACAGCAUCUUGCAAACUGUUACCUGCAGAAUAAUGCCUUUGUUCACUGUUUAUCGAUCCCCAGGAUUGCAUACAGUAUGAUUAAAGAUGCGGAAGAUAAGGGCUUGAUUACAUCCGGGAAGGUAUGGUACCGUAUUCGAAGAUGCUUUGCUCAGUUUAGCUUCCCGGUUAAUGCAUAUGAAGUGAUUGUUUGAUAACCUAACCAGGAUGAAAUAUAGACCCACGAACAGUUAAAACUUCAGAUUGUUUUGGAAGACUAUCGUAAUAUCUUCUGCAGUUUUGCUUCAAUUGACUUUUGAUCAAAUUAGGGCUAUUUUCCACAUGGAAUGGUCCAGACACGGAACAUUUAAGCUAACAAAUUUCCCGUUUCUUCUGCAUAUAUUGAAAUAAUAUCGGCUAUAGAGUGUUCUCAUCGACACUACCAGUGGUAAUACCGGCAUUGCAAUGGCUUUCAUUGGGGCAGCCAGGGGUUAUAAAGUUAUUGUCACAAUGCCAGCUUAUAUGAGCAUCGAGAGGAGAAUCGUUCUUCGAGCUUUUGGAGCUGAGGUACGACUCACAGACCCAGCCAAGGGCUUUAAAGGGUCAUUAGACAAGGCUUUGGAGAUACUAAAGAACACACGUAAUGGUUACAUGCUUCGGCAAUUUGAAAACCCUUCCAAUCCAAAGGUAGUAUCUUUAUUGUUAUAACAUUUCCAGUGUUUCAUCAGGUGAUGUUUAAAAGAAGUUAUGAAUUAUUUGUUUAAGAUUCAUUACGAAACCACUGGUCCAGAGAUAUGGAAAGACUCAGAAGGGAAAGUUGAUGUAUUAGUUGCUGGCAUAGGGACUGGUGGGACAGUAACAGGUGCAGGGAGAUUCCUCAAAGAGAAAAACUCAAAGAUCAAGGUUUGUUCCCCAUUUGAGACCCAAAUUCAGACAAGGAGCCAAUGUCCUUGUUGUUAUGCUAAUAAGAACGUAUUCUUCUUUUGUCGACAUAUAGGUAUAUGGCGUGGAACCCGUUGAAAGUGCAGUCUUAAAUGGUGGAAAACCCGGUAAAGUGUCAAGUCACUUUCACCCUUUGUUAUGUGAUUCGUGCGAUAUCCAGUACUUAAUUAUUUCCUUCGUUACAUUACCUGUGCUUUGCAUGUCAAAGGCUCUCAUCUGAUCCAAGGAAUUGGUGCUGGUAUCAUCCCUGAUGUUUUGGAUGUUGGCCUCCUUGAUGAAGUUGUCCAGGUAAGUCUCAAUAGCAUUGCAUUCAAAUUCGUUUGUCGAAGCUUCUGAAUGUUCUUUUUUCCCUCAGAAACAGUUCUAGGAAACAUUGCCAUUGGUUUUAUUUCUGAAAAAUCAACAAAUUUCGAUAAUGGCAUUCUUUUUCCUUAUAUGAACUGAUUUCAUUCGCCAUAUCGAGCAUCAAUCAUCUGAUCCAUUGAUUAUCCUUUAUGAUGCCGUUGUAGUUUCCUACAUACUGUUCAAUGAAACUCUGCAAUGGCUUUGAUUUUUGAAAAAUUAAAGAACUUCCAUUUCGGUCACAAUGAUAGAAUUCUUUUUCCUCCUAAGAACCCAUUUUAUUCACCAUGGCAAGCAUCAAUCACCUGACCCAUUGUUAAUCCUAUAUGAUGCAUGGUAGUUUCCUAUUCCACAUAUUUAUACUUCUCUUGCUGUUGUAACUUCUUAGAUAUCCAGUGAAGAAGCCAUUGAAACUGCUAAACUGUUAGCCUUGAAAGAAGGCUUGCUGGUAUGUUCAUAAUCAUUACUCGAUUGUUACAACCGUCUCGACCACUUCUUCUUUUUCUUCGUCUGUUUCCUCAAAUGAAUUGAGCUUGACAGGUUGGUAUAUCAUCUGGUGCUGCAGCAGCAGCUGCAAUUAAGUUGGCAAAGAGGCCAGAAAACUCAGGCAAACUCAUAGUUGUGAGUUGCAUUCCCUUCUUCAAGUUGGUACAUAUAGCAACAAUGCCUAUACCAAUCGAGCUAAGACUCAAUCAGCUUUCCGAACUCAAAUUUUAAAAUUUAUUACAUUACUGAAAAUUUUUUCCAACUUUUCUUUUUCAUACAAUUGAAUAUUUAACUUAUUUUGAUCGUGCUCAUUAUUUUUCUUAAAAUGCUUGUAUAUUUUGACCCUAAAUAGUUAUGCAUCAACGACACUUGAGCUUCCUUGUUUUUAUUUUACAGGUAAUUUUUCCCAGCGCUGGUGAGCGUUACCUGUCUUCUGCAUUGUUUGAAUCCUUAAGGCAUGAAGCGGAAAACAUGGCCAUAGAUUGAUGCCAUUAUUAUCCUAAGAAUAUGGAUUUUAAAUUAUUAUAAUUAUUAAAAGUUCCUUUUAACUUAUAUCUCAAUUUUUUUUGUUGUAGUUUAAGUUUUUCAGUAUAAUUUUUAUUUUCUAAUCACAAAAUAAAAAUAACAUGAAAUCACACAGUUUCAUAUAAUUCUUUUUUUCAGAAUACACAGAAUAAAAUAUUGAUAAAAGCCAUGUAAAAAAGAAAAUUUAUGUUGCUGGAUCAAAUUGCACCCAAAUUUAAAAAAUAUUUUACAAUUAAAUAAAAAUAAAAAUAAUUUUUAUUUGGAUAAUUGAAAAUCUUCUUAUUUAGAUAAGAGUGGUCGGAUUGUACAGCCAAUCCAAUCUGAUUUAAGCUAGAUUUUCAACAAAAUGUUUUUAACUUUUAUCGACAUCUAUAUGGUCCAAAUACAAAUACAAAUAAAAAUAAAAAUAAAAAUAAAAAAUUAAUUUUUAAUUUUUAAUUUAAAAUUAUAAAACCCACGUUUUCUUAUUAAAAUAUACUUUUUUAAAGAUUUUAUCAUUUAUUAAAAAAAAUAUUACGAAAAAUAUUUCCGGACCAUAGUUUGGCCCAAACCAUUAACACCCGGCUAUUGGAUAGGUUUAGUAGUUUAUCGUAAUUGUUUUGAUGUUUCUAGUACGACGCCGUUUGGACCGGCUUUCCUACAACAUCGAUAAGCCAGCCACCUUGCCACUCUUCUUCUCCCCCACUCUCUUCUUUUGACUUUCAAGUUCAGUUUUUUCGCAGAAGAGUUUUUUUUCUUUUGAAAUUUAUUAAUUUUAUUCAUUUAAUGAUCCUUCCUUCACCUAAAUCUCUGUUUCUUCAUUUCAUAUCUCUUCCAACAUCGAAGGAAAAAAAAUAAUUAAAAAAAAGCAAACUUCGAGAGGCACUAGAAAUUUUCUAGGGUUUAAUUAAGCUCUCUCUCUCUCUCUCUCUCUCUCUCUCUCUUUUUAACACUGAUUAUUGUCAAACCGACGUCGAUUUCAUCUUCGAAGACCGUCUCGGUAAGUUCAAAGAUUUAGUCUCCUCACUUCUUUUCUCCUUUUUUUAAUAAAAAAUUCUAUCAUUGAAUUCGGGCUUUCUCGGCGAUCAUUUCAAGUUUUCUUAUCUCUGCAUUUAUUUAGUUGACUUUUUUUGUUAGAUUUUUCUUUUGUGGAAAUUUUGUUUAUUUGUAUUAAUUCAUUGAUUCUUUUUUAUAUUAAUUUAUCUAGUUCGAUCAUUUUGGUAAAAAAAAAUUUGCUUGAUUUUUCAAUGUGUUAUCGUAUUUUUAGAAAUCGUGUUUGAUUAAGAUAAGAAUUCAAAUUCUAGUCGCAGUAGUUACGGUUUUGAGUAGAAAUUUGGUUUUGAUGAGAGUUUAGUUGUUUGUUGGUUGAAUCAGUUUCUGUAUAAUUUUUUUUAGAAAGUUUUUAUUUGUAAAAAAAAAAUAUUAAUAAUCUGAUAUAUGUAGAUAAUUUUGGUCUACUUAGUUUAUUUUAUUUCUUUCAUUGACAUUUUAUUGCAGAAUAUAGGUUAUUCUGACCUACUAUAUCUAGUUGAUAUCCAAUUAUUUACUGGACAAUGACUUAUAGGUGCUAAAGUUUUUAAUUUUCAUUUGAAUGAUUAUCUAGGGCUCACUGCAAUGCAUCGAGUUGGCAGUGCUGGGAACAAUUCCAAUUCUAGCCGCCCGCGUAAAGAAAAGAGGCUGACAUAUGUAUUAAAUGACUCUGAUGACACAAAGGUAAAGUGGUUUGUGUGUGUGUCUUUUUGCUUAUAAUUAUUUUCCUUUAACAAUUCCUCUUCCUUGUUAUCGGCAAUCUCAAGGAAUUUGCAUAUUCAUAUUCAUUUUUUGUUAGUAUUCUAAGUAUUUAUGUUUUUCAUUUUAAUGCCACAUUUAUAUUAUUGGUUUUUCUGCUAUUUUAGGUUUAUACGUCUUUCCUUUUAUGCAUUUGUUACUAAAAUAUAAUUUCAAGAGUCUUGUGUUUGCUUUUCAUCAAAUCUGAGUAGGAAAUUUUGAUAUUUAUAUUUUUUAUGAUUAAGUUGGUGGAUUUGAAAUUUAUUUGGGGUUGGAACUUGUAAACUUCCUUCUCCAAGAUACAGCUUUGCCAGUCUCAUUAUUGGCUGCCUUUUAUCCUUAGGAUUGACCACAAUUCACAAGAACAUUUUUGUAUCUUAGUGGAAGAGGGAAGGUUAGGAUGGACCUGGUGUGAGAUAUAAUAUUGUUUGAGUAACCCUGGAUGUUGUAGGAGUUAAGGAUUGUCAGCAAAGGCAUUUUAGUGUGUUGUAGAUUCUUAUCCAAGAAAUUUAUCAUUUGAUGAUGCCAUGUGCCUGUGUAAAUUGCUAGAAACAUGAAAGUGUAUGCUAAUCAAUAAUGUAAAGGGACUGGAAAGGCUACCAUGAGACAACACAAAUAAUCUUAUUUAUAUAUGUUAUACUAAAUUAGAAUGGAAAUGAUUGUUUGUAAUUCUCAGUAACUAAUUCUUUAUAGUAUCCAUGCAUUCAUCAUUAUUCAUUAAUGUAGGACCAUUUUCACUAUAAACUUGAAUAAUUUUGCUUAUGCUUUACUUUAUAUUGUUAAUUAUGUCAUUAUCUUGAAUUAUAAACUAGUCAAUCAUUUUAUCACUUUAUUUUGGGUAUGGGAACUAGGCUCUGAUGUUUCUCUACUUAUGUUUUUUCUUCUUCUUUUUUUUUUUUUUGCAGCAUUCUGCUGGUAUAAAUUGUUUGGCUGUGCUAAAGUCAUCUGUCUCUGAUGGGUGCAACUAUCUCUUCACUGGAAGCCGUGAUGGCACGCUUAAGAGAUGGGCACUGGCUGAAGAUGCUGCCACUUGCUCUGCUACAUUUGAGUCACAUGUUGAUUGGGUACCUUCUUUUUUGCUUCUUGUUUUUGCUAUGAGCAGGACCAUCAUACUUUAGAUGGUAUCUUUUUAUUGCUAAUUUUUUGUUCGGAGCAUGUGAUAAUUUAAUUAAUUAAAUUUUUGGUUUCUUGAUGUAUUAUCAGUAUGAAUGAUUGCUUAUUAGCCAACCUGCUCACCCGAAGUAAUAUCUAGAGCAAGUAUUCACUGUGCACUUCAAUUACAUCAGUAGUUAGUUUGAAUGUUGAUGGCUCCUUUUUCUUUUUUCAGUUUGUGAAUACACCAUCCAGUUAUCUUAUAAAAUUUAUCUAUGUAACUAUGUAAAUUAUGAUUGAGAAUUUCCUUGUGCAGGUAAAUGAUACUGUAAUUGCUGGUGAAAAUACACUUGUUUCAUGCUCGUCAGACACCACAUUGAAGGUUUGUCAUUAAUUCGUGUAUUAGAUUUAGCUUUUCUCUUUUUAACUUAUUUUGUCAAAUAUUUUUUUUGGCCACUACUUUUGUUAAAUAUUGACAUGUGCUCUUUCUUUUUGAUACGCCAGAUAUGGAAUUGCUUGUCUGAUGGGACUUGUACCAGGACUCUUCGUCAACACUCUGACUAUGUUACAUGUCUAGCUGCUGCUGAAAGAAAUGUAAUUCUUAUAUAAAAUUUUCUUUGGAUUUUAUUAGGUGCAUGAGUGAAAUGUUCUUGUCGGUGCAAUAUUGCUAUUUAGGUUUCAUGUUUGAUUUGGCUGCUUAAGUUGUGCAUCAAGGCAUGUUUUUUAAUAUUAUAGAAGUCAUUUUCUGAUUCUUUUUUAGUGCCAUACAUUUUAGGCAAAUGUGGUUGCCUCUGGGGGUCUUGGUGGGGAGGUUUUUGUAUGGGAUAUUGAAGCUGCGGUUACUCCACUCUCUAAGUCCAGUGAUGUAAUGGAAGAUGAUUUUUCCAAUGGUAUCAAUGGUUCUGCAAAUUCAUUACCCGUAUCCAGUCUGCGACCAAUUAGCUCGAAUAACAGUAUUACUGCUCACACAACUCAGUGUCCUGGAUAUGUCCCCAUCGCUGCCAAAGGCCAUAAAGAGUCAGUCUAUGCAUUGGCAAUGAAUGAUAAUGGAUCCCUUCUUGUCUCUGGUGGAACUGAGAAGGUAAGUGUUGCUUCUUCUGAAUUCAAUUUUUAUGUAAAUAACAUGUUUCUCUCCACUUAUGACAUUUUGCCAGUUGCCAGGGAUGGUCUGUUGAUAAUUUGUUUUACCUAACAAUUUCAGUAGCAAUUUAAUUUCCUGCCACAAUUUCUUAUAGGUUGUGCGUGUUUGGGACCCAAGAACAGGUUCAAAGACUAUGAAGUUAAGAGGGCAUACAGAUAACGUUAGGGCUCUGCUUCUGGAUUCUACUGGCAGGUUGCUACACUGAAUCUAGAUCUGUAGAGUUAAAAAUAGUUUUAGUUUGAUUUAGUUGGAAGCCUUACAAAUAUGGUGCUUAAUUUUAUUGUUUCUUAUCGCGGUCCUAUGAUGCAAAAUAUUUUGAGAACAAUGAGCGUGGUUGUAGGGUGGAGACUAAAUCAUUUUAUGGCUUCAUGUGUGCAUGUUCACAUUUUUUUUUAACUGCUACAUUGUUUUCUAGUAAAAUUGGGUGAAUACUUUUUCUUUGAAAAUAUCAGGGAGUUUUUCGUUAUUUGAUGGGUUCUUCCCUUGAUUGACUUCUAGUGAGUUCUUUUAUUUGCUUGUGUGUUCUUCUGCACCGUAUUUAUUUUACUAGUGAAAAGUUUGACAGACAUCUCAUAUUCUCUCAGGUAUUGUUUAUCAGGGUCCUCUGAUUCUAUGAUCAGGUAUAUAAUCUGUGCAAGUUUUCACUGUUGUAUAACAUGCCAUUUUCAGCCAUAAAGAAUCUAAGUCCUUUCCUUUUAAAUGGUCAUAAUUUUAUUUUGUAGGCUAUGGGACCUUGGUCAGCAGCGUUGUGUGCAUUCAUAUGCUGUGCAUACAGAUUCUGUUUGGGCACUUGCGAGCACCCCAACAUUUACUCAUGUUUAUAGUGGUGGUAGAGAUCUUUCUGUAAGUACAUAUUCAUGUCAAACAGUUUUAGCAGAAUCUUUGUCAAUUUUGCCAAUGUUUUGAUGUAGAAGUUGAGAGGAAACCUAUGCUGAUAUAGCACAAUUGGCUUAUAGUAUUUUAGGAUUGAUUGAGAUUAAAGGAUCAGAAAUUAUGAUAAUAAUUAGGGGUUCUAAUUAUUGGUAUCAAUUGAGAUUGGAUGGAACUAAUAAAGGAUUAGAAAGCAAUUCUGGCUUGUGCUGGUAAAUGGUAAUUUUUGCAGUACUCUUAAUAAGUAAAUUAUGGGUCAAGGAUUUAAUUUCAUGAUGAAUUUGUGUGAGUGGGAUCGGGAUUUAUUGGAAGUAUUCCUGGUUGGUUUGAGAUUGAAAUCAAUGCAAGUAAUUAGAGAUAAGGAAGAAAAGUGAUCUAGGUUCACACCUAAGCACUAGGGCAAGGGUUGGUACAACAGUUGCUGAAGUUCUCAUCAGUUGUUGUCUGGUAAUAUAAAAUAGAUCGUGCUCAUUUGUAGAGUUCUGUAAUAAUUUUCCUAGAAAGACUGUGAUCAGUAGGAAACUCCAAAAUUGACUUAAACGACUCCUAAGCGAUGGAUAAAAACCUAAUAAAAUAAUACAAACUCAAGUAAAUAUGGUUCCUAGCAUCAAAUUCUUUAACUUUCAGUUGAUUUUGAAACUAUCAGCAUAUCUGUAACUUUCUAGGAAACCCAAAACAGAAUAUAACUUUGCAAGUUAAACUCAAAGAAAUGUAACGUUAAGACUUAAUAUCUAUUCAGCUUAAGUUUCUGAAUCAUUCUGACAGCAAAUGAAGACAAUACUUCUAGGUUUCUUCCGCAUAUGAUCUUGACAGUUCUUGACAACCUUGUAUGAAACUUCUAAUAAUUAGCUUUAACUCUCAAUUUGCACUUCUAAUAUUUAGCUUUAACUCUCAACUGGCUCUUACUUUUUAUACAUACACCAGUUGUAUUUGACAGACUUGACAACAAGAGAGAGUCUUUUGCUUUGCACAAAGGAACACCCAGUUUUGCAGUUGGCGUUGCAUGAUGAUAGUAUCUGGGUUGCAACGACAGAUUCUUCAGUUCAUAGAUGGCCUGCUGAAGGAAGAAAUCCUCAGAAGGUCUUUCAAAGAGGUGGUUCAUUCUUGGCUGGAAACUUGUCUUUUUCAAGGGCAAGAGUUUCCUUAGAAGGGUCUACCCCUGUAAGUAUAGUUUGUGUGCGACUGUAUUAUAUUUGCUAUUGCUUACAGCAAUCAUCUUGUUUGUCAUGAAAAUUUUUGUCUCAUAAAUAUCUCUUUUCACCUUUUUCUUAAUUUUUAUCAAGUAUUAUUAAAUAUACAAACUCUGCAUUGUAGUAACAUUUAUUUUCUUUAUAUUCUUGAAUUCUAGGGAAUGUUGCGCUGCUCGUUAGUUGUUAACUGGUUCUGUUUCAUUUGUUCUUUGCUCACUCAACCCCAAGGAGAAAAGAACAAAUAUUAGAAUUUGUUUUUAUUACUCAUGAUGUGAUUUGUUAUGGAUAACUCUUUGAGGUUUGACUGUAUCUGGAAUUUGUUUUAGCAUCUUCUUCCAUCACUUGCCCUUCAUUAAUGUGCUUCCAUUGUUGGUUAUUCAGGCUGCUGUUUAUAAAGAACCAAUCUUUUCCAUUCCUGGAACUCCAGCAAUAGUUCAGCAUGAAAUUUUAAAUAACAGAAGGCAUGUAUUGACUAAGGUAAAUGUGGUAGUACUUAUAUUUGUUGUUCCAAAGAUUUUGUUUUUGGGAUUUUUUUUGCGUAUAUGAUAUUUAUGCUUCUUGAACAGGAUACUGCUGGUUCGGUAAAGCUCUGGGAGAUAACCAGGGGUGUUGUGGUCGAGGACUAUGGACAGGUGAAUGAGAAACUAGAAUUUUUUUUCCCUCUUUUUCUGUCUUUGUUUCUUGAGUACAAGUGGAUUGCACUUUGCUUUUCCCUUCCAAGUUUUGUACACAUAGACACUUGUAUAUAUUUAUCCAUUCAUUAAAUUUCAAUGGCCAGGUUUCAUUUGACGAGAAAAAGCAGGAGUUGUUUGAGAUGGUAUGCUACCUACUUAUUUAAAUUUAUAUCAGUUAAACACAAUGCAUCAUUUUGUAAGGAAUUUGCUUUUUUUAUUUUUAAAACCACUAGGUAAGCAUUCCAGCAUGGUUCACUGUGGAUACCCGGCUUGGAAGCUUGUCUGUUCAUUUGGACACACCCCAAUGCUUUUCUGCGGAGAUGUAUUCUGUUGAUCUAAACAUAACUGGGAAGCCUGAGGAUGAUAAGGUUUUAGACUUAUUUUAUUGAUUUUGACAAUCUUAAGACAUGCAUAUCUACAGGAAGUGGUUGAGGAACUCUGUGAUUAUAAUGUGCAUCUGGUGUUAACUUGUCUUUGGCAGGUUAAUCUAGCUCGUGAAACCCUUAAAGGUCUGUUGGCUCAUUGGAUGACCAAAAGAAGGCAAAGACUUGGCUCCCAGGCUUCCGCUAAUGGAGAUGUUUUAUCAGGAAAGGAUAAUACUGCAAGAAGUCUUGCUCAUUCAAGAAUUGAGGUAGAUGGAAAUGCUGAAAAUGACUCCAUGGUCCAUCCUCCUUUUGAGUUUUCUAUGGUUUCCCCUCCAUCAAUUAUCUCCGAGGGUUCCCAAGGAGGUCCUUGGAGAAAGAAAAUUACUGAAUUGGAUGGAACUGAGGAUGAGAAAGACUUCCCUUGGUGGGUUUUGGAUUGUGUUUUAAACAAUCGGCUACCACCACGAGAAAACACCAAGUAACUUCCGCGGCUCAUUAAACUUUCCCUUAAUAUAAUCUUUAAGUAACUAGUUUUCAACGAACUGCAUACAUUGAACUGUUUAUCAGUUGACCUUGUUGAUAUACUUGUUACACAUGGAUGAACUUAAGAAGUGUCAUUAAAUUCAUGGUUAACUAUGCUUUUUGUUUUCUUGUGCCUUUAGUUCUUACUCUCUGAUAUUUUUCUUGUGAAACGUCUGCACUUCUCUUCUUUUGUUUUUUUUUUUGGGGGGGGGGGGAAGAGUACCUUCUUUUGCAUUUUUGCACACUACUGCUACAUUCAGAACCAUGGAUAAUCAUGUAGUUUACUUGAGUCUUCUCUCUCUCUCUCUCUCUCUUGAUGAAGUUUUACUUUUCAUUUAUUUCAGGUGCAGCUUCUACCUUCAUCCAUGCGAAGGUACAGCUGUUCAGAUCCUCACACAAGGGAAGUUAAGUGCUCCUCGUAUAUUGAGAAUAAAUAAGGUAUGCCUGUUUGGUUUUUCCGUAGGACUUUCAAAAUCUUUUUUUUUUUUUUGGCAUGGCAUGCGAUUGUACAAAGUUGCAAAUGUUGAUUCUAUGCUAAUUUAGAUCACUUGGGUUAAUACAUUAGAAUCUAUUUCAUGCUUUGGAGCAUGGACAGCAAAAGGGCCAAAGGAGUAAUGUUCAGUUAAUGAAAAUGCUAUUUUAGCAUACAUAUAUUUUGAUAGGACCUUUUAACUUUGUUCUAGCCAACACAAUAUAUGAACGAAUUAGAAUAAUCUUCUGUAUUAGCUGUUGUUGAGUGCUUGUUUGCUCGUAUGUAAGAGCAAGAUGCCUUUGUGGCCUUUUAGAUUUUAUUUUCUUCUCUUUUUAAAUUUUGGAUACGGAAUGCUGAUAGGUGUCAUAUUGGAAAAACAUAUGUAUAUCAAUGUAUAUUAAUGCAGAACAGUUUGUCCUACACUGUAUUUGUACAUCAGUAUUUUAUUUAAUUUUCUGGUAUAAUAAUGUACUUUCACUCCGUUAUGGUUUAUAUAGGUUGUUAAUUAUGUCGUAGAAAAGAUGGUGCUUGACAAACCAAUUGAUACUGGAAAUACCGAUGGGUCACUUGCUCCUGGACAUGGAGGACAAUUGCAGCAUUCAGCUGUCGUGGAUGGUUCUUUUAAAUCUGGAUUGAAGCCUUGGCCGAAGCCUAGGCCUUCUGUUGAGAUUUUAUGCAAUAAUCAGGCAAGUAAACCAUAUAUUAGAUGUCAUAAUGCCUUUGGCUAAGAGCCUUGACCCAUUUCUCAAAGCUGUGUGUUUUUUUUCCCAUCAUUUUCUGGUACCAUUAAUAAAUCGUACUAUGCAGUGUUUGAAAUCAACAAACUAAAAUUAUUCAUAUGAACUUUUUAGUUCAAGUUCGAUCAUGCUAUACUGAUCACGUGUUUGAUUUGCUACUAUAUGUUCCAGGUCUUAUCUACAGACAUGAGCUUAGCCACUGUGCGGGCCUACAUAUGGAAGAAACCUGAGGAUUUGGUACUUAAUUAUAGAGUGGCUCAAGGCAGGUGAUUUUAUCAACUUCUGGGAGCAGGUGAGUGGGUUACAUGUGUUGCUUUUAACUAGGGUUGAGAAAAUUUUGGUCAGAACUACUUAGCCAAUGUCCCGACCAAAACUGUUGUUAGUAUCAGUUUUAGUAUUAAACCGACCAACUUGAUCAAACUAUUAUAAAUUAUUAUAUUUAUAUAUUUUAAAAUAUUUUAUUAUACAAUAAAUAUUUUUAAUAUAUUGAUAUUCUUACCCUGACCCUAUUAAACCCACCCAAUCCAUUACCCAAUAAACUCGUUACCAAAUUUCCAAAAUAACUGAGCAAACUAAGUUGAUCUGGUUAUUGCCGGUUAUCAAUAUAAAGUUUGGUUGGUUUCAGUUCAAAAGUCUAUGGAGUUCGGUUUAUUAACAUGGAACUACUGUUGGCUUUGUUUGAUAGGUGAAUAAGACAUCAUAUAGUUUCUCUUUUAGUCUGCACAUUGGAUAUCUGUAUGAAGCAAUCAACUUAAAAGAACUGUAUCCUCUCUUAUCUAUCAGGCUGCAGUGUCUGUUUCGGGAAAUCGAGAUGGAAAUCUCAUACUGUUGUAAAGUGUUGGGAAUUGUAUUUGUUCGUCAGAGGUUUGCCUAUAUCAGAAGCAAAUGUUGGAUCCCUUAUAUAUUUGGAAAGACAAUUGGUUUUCAAUGUGGGGGCGUUCUCCGGACUUCAACAAGAUGAUCGUUGUUAAAGUCGAGCAGAUGGUAUCAUAAAGUUUUGGUCUUUGUGUAGUGCAUGCUUUCGCCAUACAUCCGAGAAAAAGUUGUAGGGUGGAAUGCAAGCGGUAGAACGGUUUGUAAACUCCGGGGGACAAUUAGCUGAAAGUAAAAUUGGGGGAAAAAAAGAUUAGGCCAUAUGAUGUCGACGAAAGGUCAUGUAGAUUUGUAUUUUGAGGGUGAUACAAUAUCUAGUCAUAGAAACUGUUGUUACGAAAUUGGUCUUUUUUUUAAUUAUUUGUCCUGGAAAUAAAAAAGGACUGUUAAUUUGUGUUUUUUUUCCUUGUGCAUUUGAAAUUUAAUUUUUUAUUUUUAGGAAUUUAGUUUCAUUGUUUGGAUUUAAAAAAAUUAUUCAGUUUUAUAGCAAAGAUUAAGAGCCAAAAUUGAAACUUGAUCAUUGUUUAUAAUGUAAAAUGAAAGUAAUGCAAAUUUGACAGAAUUGGGAAGUUUCGUGUUAGUCUCUAAAACUCUAAAGAUAUUUAAAUUAUAUAUAAUCACGUGAUAUUUUAAUAAAAAUUUAAUAAUACUAACUAUUUAGAUUUAUCAAUAAUAUUAUAAAAAUAUAUGGAUCGAAUUACAUCAGAAAUUAAAGAGAUUACAAAUUUAGAUAUAAUAGAAAGACCAAAAUUAAAAUUUAUCCUCUAAUAUCUAGUGUAAAAGAGAGAGAACAAUAGCAAUAUAGUAUAGGUAUGUGUUAAUUUGGGCCUCCCUUUUAUAUAUAGUUCAUAGAUUCAUGUGUUAAUUUGGGCCUCCCUUUUAUAUAUAGUUCAUAGAUUCAUGAAUGGAUGAAUCGGUUCAAUUCAAAAUUGAUAGUUUUCAAUAAAAUUAAUAAAAUUUAAGUUAAAUUAAAAAAAUAGUUAUUUUUAUAAAAUAAAAAUAAAAGUAACAAGAUUUGCCAGUAAUAAUUGACAAACUAUGUAUUUUUUUGUUAACUAAUUUGGAGGUCCCUUCCAUCCCAUCUUAAUGAAAUCUUCCCCAUUUGAUGUAGUAAACAUCAUUGUAGGGAGGUCAAUAUCAAGUUCCUCCAUCUCUAUAGAAACUUCUUUCAUUUCCAAGAAGGCUUCAAGAGAUGCCUUUCCAUACUAGUAGUAGCUUUUAACAUCAUCACAGUGUAAACAAGAUGUAAUACAUCAUCACUGUGUAAACAAGAUGUAAUCUCCAUCACCAAAUAUUGCUUCAACACAACUGUAUUUAAUAUCUAACUUAUAUUCUUAACUAAACUAACUCCAUAAAUUCGACACCCGAAAUAAAUAUUGGUUUUGUAUUAUUUUUUUAUUUAUUUACUUUAAUGGUUGAGUGAAGAAGGAAUCUAAAGAUGUGAAAGGGAAUGUUAUAGCAAUAGCAUAUAAAAGCAAGCUUUGUGAUUAUCUUGGGGAGCAACAAAUGAAGAAUACCCAAACUGGCAAAUUAUAUUUUAUUCCUGUUAGUUAUGGGACACAGACAGCUACAAACAACGCAAUGUCUUAGCACCAUUGCCGACCAUAAACUUUAUUAAUUGCCAUAACAAAAACAUUACUAAUGGUAAAUUUUCUCUUAGCUUAAAGUAUUAAAAUAUGCCACAAAUUUUAUGUUUUUGUUUUUAGGAAUUUAGUUCAUUUAUUUUUUAAGAUUUUAAAAUUAAGGUUUAAUUGUUAAAACGGUUAAUUUUUUUUAUUAAUUUUAUUAAAGUGACAUUUAAAAAAAAUCAUUAAUAGCCAUGUAAUUCAAAAAAUAAUAUUGUAAUGAACUUGACUUUAAUAAAAUAAUUUUAACAGUAUUAAUAAUUGAACCUAAAUUUUGAAAUAUGAAAAGUAAAAUGAUUAAUUUUUUAAAAAUAAACUUAUAAAAUGUAUAUAAACUAAUUAUCUAUUUUAUCUUUUUAUAAUUUUGAAAAUUCAUUAAGUUCAAAGCUAAGUGAACGGACCCUAGUCAAUUUGGGUCAAUAGCAUUCAAAUCUUUAUUGAGUCAAAUAUUGUGUAUUUUAUCUUUUGAAAAAAAAAAGGUUACAACUAUAAUCUAAUAAACAAUCAUCACUAAGUUGAUCUUGAAUGAUUUUCUUUUCAAUACCUGUACUCACCAAACCAUCUAUGAUACCUUUAAAAUAUGUGUUUAGGAUGUGAUUUUAAAAAAAAAAUAUUCAUUUUUUAAGAUUUACUCAUAGUAAAUUUAGAUAAUAAAAUUAGAUUGUUUUUUAUAUUAUGUAUAUCCGUUUUAUGAUUUAUGUUCGAGGUUUAUAGUUGUCUUCCUUUAAGAAUAUUGUCUCCAAGGUUCAAACCAACAUUCUCUCCUUACAAAUUUAAUGUACCUUACCAUUGCACCUAUGAGAUAAUUAAAUUUUGAUUAAACUAAAACUAUUUAAUUUUUGUUUGGUAAGAGAUUUAUCAAGUUAAAGUGAUUCUUUUCUUCUUAUUCCCAUAAGAUAAGGACACCAUAUUCUGCAUUGUGAAGGUCAAUUUCAUUUCAGAAUAGCAUAAAACUUUCAUAUUUUCAGACACAUAAUGGAAGUCAUUGUCCCAAAAAUUGAAAAGAAUAUGAUUCUUUACACAGUUUUUUCUUAAAGAAAAAAGCUUGGGAUUCUUAUUGUUUUUAGCAUAAGAUCCUAACAUUGAUGAUGUUAUUUAAUCUUUCGUCAUUAAAUUUAAGAUUAAAAAUAACACCAAAUUUUCCUAUACAAAGAGAGCUUCAAACACCAGUUGGUAAUUAAGGAACAAGUGCAAAGAGUUUCCUCAGAACAAUGGCUGGCUAUGGUUAUGCAUACAGAGGUGGCUACACGACCUACGACGGCGGCGUUGCUCCACGAGGUGGCACCGAUGGGUGGAACAAAACAAGCUAUAGCUCAGAUCAUACGUGUCAGCCUGUGUUCAUUGAUGCAGAAGGGAGGCGGAAGCCGAUCACGUCUUACACUGGUCCGCACGGUAGCACCGAGUAUUACGUUACAAAAACCGAGAUAGUCGAGGUUCCAUAUAUGGCCGAAUACAAGCAAAGGGCUCCUGUAAGAGUUGAGGUGGUGAGGGACUAUGGUGAGGGUAAGCUGAUUACUAGGCCCUUAAGUCCCGGGAAACGGCGGGAGAGUUCAAGUCCUGUUCGGUAUCAUACUGAAGAGAAAUGGAAUAAGCCUUCUAGCCCCGUUCAGUAUGACGUCAAAGAGAAAUGGAAUAAGCCAUCGAGUCCUGUUCGGUAUCGUGUUGAAGAGAAAUGGAAUAAGCCUUCUAGCCCCGUUCAGUAUGACGUCGAAGAGAAAUGGAAUAAGCCAUCGAGUCCUGUUCGGUAUCGUGUCGAAGAGAAAUGGAAUAGGCCCUCUAGUCCUGUUCGGUACCAUGCCGAAGAGAAAUGGACGAACCGGCCUUCAAGUCCGGUUAAGGAACAUCCUCAACAAGUUAUGGAUUUUAUUAGCAAAGUUCAAACUCAAGCCAGC
rnacentral:lncRNA from 1 species